rnacentral:lncRNA from 1 species
AAGGAGGACUUCAGACAGGUGCCUGCCCAAGUAACAGGACAGGUCUUCCAGACUACAUGAAGUCAGUGAGUUAUACCUCUAGUGGUUAAGCAACCAAGCAGCAACAAAAGCAAGUUCAAAAGAACUUAAGCAACUAAUGUACCUGAAAACAAUCCAACUCAAUCAGUACACAACUCAAAAAGUCAAACAAACAGUUCAAAAGUCAACAUUCCACAA